rnacentral:rRNA from 1 species
AGCGAACGCUGGCGGCAGGCUUAACACAUGCAAGUCGAGCGGGCCCUUCGGGGUCAGCGGCGGACGGGUGAGUAACGCGUGGGAACGUGCCUUCUGGUCUGGAAUAACCCUGGGAAACUAGGGCUAAUACCGGAUACGCCCUUUUGGGGAAAGGUUUACUGCCGGAAGAUCGGCCCGCGUCUGAUUAGCUAGUUGGUGGGGUAACGGCCUACCAAGGCGACGAUCAGUAGCUGGUCUGAGAGGAUGAUCAGCCACACUGGGACUGAGACACGGCCCAGACUCCUACGGGAGGCAGCAGUGGGGAAUAUUGGACAAUGGGCGCAAGCCUGAUCCAGCCAUGCCGCGUGAGUGAUGAAGGCCUUAGGGUUGUAAAGCUCUUUUAUCCGGGACGAUAAUGACGGUACCGGAGGAAUAAGCCCCGGCUAACUUCGUGCCAGCCGCCGCCGUAA